AAACAUCUAUACAUAUAAUAAAAUCGUAGAAAAGUGCUGUCUGUACAUUGAAAAUAAAAAUAAAAAAAAUAGCAGGGGUUAUUGUUAUGUCGAUGUCGAACCCAAAAAUGUAAUUAACUUUUUUUUGUCUGUUUGUCUGUUUGUCUGUUUGUCUGUUUGUCUGUUCGUCUGUGCGCGCUAAUCUCAGAAACGGCUGAUCCGAGUUGGAUGCGGUUUUCACGAAUAUAUUGUGGGAUGCUUAAAUUUACAUUUAGUGUUUGUUUCAUGUCAAUCGGUUCAUAAAUAAAAAAGUUAUGUCAAAUUAAAGAAUCACGUCGAACAUUCUAUGCUUAUACCAUUAAUCUCCGCAACUAUUUGACGGAUUUGGUUGAAAUUUGGUACAGAUAUAGUUUAGAACCUUAGAAAGGACAUAGAUAUAUUUUUAUUUCAAAAAUCAAAAAAUAAAAAUAAGAAAUAAAUUAUUUAUAAAUAAUUCUAUGUCGAUCGUUACACGACUUCGGUUCAUGUUAUUGUUUUAAUUCAUCGAAAAAAAGUAAAUAAAUAGUAAAAAGGUAUGAAAAAAAUAAUAUCAAUAUAAUUAAACUUUUAGUACAAAGAAAAUGCCCGAACGGAGUAUAAAUAAAUAAUCCAAGUUGUCUUUAUCCUCGAUAGAUGGCGUUGGGAUCGAAAUAGAUCGCGCUAUGGUUUCGUUACAUUCAUUUGGUUGGGUAUCGGCCGAGCGCUUCGGUACUAUCGUAGAAAAAGUGUAUAUCAGUCGUAUGAUUAUUUGUCUGUAGUGGUCCUGCUGUUUCGUAUAUUCUAAAUUGGUUUCGUUGUAUUUGUCAAUUAAUAAGUUUAUUUCGACACCCGCUAAGUAUAAGUAUGUAUCUGCCAGAUACACGAAAUGGUUUUUAUUGCAUUUUUAGCUUCAACGUACCUGUAUCUAUCCAAUAAAAAAAUAUCAAAAAAAUUGUAACAGCCGAACAUGGUUUUUUUCAGACGCAUAAGUAUUUAUCUGAAUUAAUUAGGAAAUAAAUACAACGUACAAAUAUGGAAGUUCCAGUUAAAUAGUAGUACGCGGGGGGAUCGAGACGCGGGGUGCGGGCAUCUGCCGCUCGCUCAGUUCUUCGCGGUAACAGCGAGCGGCACGCGCGAGCGGUGCGUUAUAUUUUAUUAAUAUAGUGAACGCUAUAAAUUUUUAGUAUCGUUAAAGCAAAAUGCAAUUAAAAGGCGACAGAAUCUCACCAUGUCACCACCAAAUGAGAUUUAUUCGUCACCUAGACAAGGUAAGUCCUAAUAAUAAUUAUUAUGGAAUUUUAGCCAUUCCCGGUGCAUAAGUGUGUAUCUACGUAGUUACACAUUUAUACACUGGAUUCAAUUUUAAUUGUAAAAUGUAUCUAGGCACUUAACUACUUAUUCCAUGGAUAUCGCGAUAAAUAUUCCAUUGAAAAAGUGUGGAUGUGGCAGUUAGAGUAUUUUGAUACAUUCUAAGACCGGAGUAAAAUUAUCUAUGUGUUAUAAAACAAAACCAUAAACCUUUACAAACAAAAUUUCCUUGUAAACAUAAACUGUACUUAAUUUUAAACUCAGUUACCAAAUUUCAAACCAUAAAUCCUUAAAAUGACAAAGAUAUGACAAUUUAUAAUUUUUGCAAUCUUAAAUUCGCUCUCCUGUAAAAUUUAACUUUUUCAGUUACUUACUUAUACUUAGGACGUGUCGAUUUG